rnacentral:rRNA from 1 species
AGAGUUUGAUCCUGGCUCAGAACGAACGCUGGCGGCAUGCCUAACACAUGCAAGUUGAGCGAGAACCAGAGGCUUGCUCUCUGGGGAAAGCAGCGCACGGGUGAGUAACGCGUGGAUAACGUGCCCUGGGGUUGGGGAUAACCCACCGAAAGGUGGGCUAAUACCGAAUGUGUUCCAAAGGGGUUAGCCCUUUUGGAAGA